UAUGAAUUUUGCUCGGCCACAGGGUGAAGAUCAGCUUACAGGAGAUCAUUCAGUCUCAGCUGACUGACGAAUGGUUUUCUCUGAAUGACGUUAAACAUGGCCGGGUUCACAUGAUUCUGGAGUGGCUGCCCACAGUCACACAACCUGACAGACUACAACAGGCUCUGCAGUUACAGUCAGAGCAUUCAUACCAGAACAAAUCUGUGCCGUCAGCUGCUCUGUUCUUCAUUCUCUUGGAGAGAGCUCACGACCUG